CCUCUGUCUCUCUCUUUAUUUCCAGCCUCUCUCUCUCUCUCUCUUUUUCUCUUCUCUUCACGUAUGGUGGAUCUCUCUCAUCACCCAUAAUCUUCUUGAAGGUGUUGUAGUACAGAGAAAGAGAUGGGUGUUGUUUUCACCACCCAUAAUCUUCUUCAACAUCAGUCUGCUGCCAUAGCAACUCCGCGACUGUCCCCCACCAUUGAAGAGGAAGAUCAGCAAACAGCAAAAACCCAAUGCAACAUUGACACCCACCCUCGCUCUUCGCUACCGACGCUGAAUUCCCUAAAUCAGAGGAUGGAGAAAUUGGGGCAUCAGAGGCUAACAUGUUUGCUUGUGGCAUGGUUGACAUUGCUUGUUCAAAUCUUCUUCAUUCACGCUGCAGAUUGUAGUCAACAUAAUGGGCUGUAUCGAUCUUCAGAAAAUAUCAAUCAGCAGAUACUGUUUGAUAUUGAUCCUUUUGGUCAGCAUCUUGGUAUAGGCAGUGAGGUUUGCAAAGCCCUAAGUUUCGAAACAACAGUCUCUCUCUCUCUCUCACGGAGGCGAGCGACGAGCGGCAAAUUUUGGUUUGGACGAGCAACCAGCAGGACCAUGAUUCUCGACAAGGGUCAGCUUCUCGAGACCGAGCAAAUGUUUUGCGACGCUGGUGAGCAGUGGCCUGUUAUUAUCCCUGAGGAGGAGAUCCGCCAAGCAGCCCCUGGUACUAAGUGUCAUCUCUUCAGCAGUUUAUCUUCAACUUCUGAGAUUUACUUAAGUUCAAUUUUGAUCUUUCUAGAGAAGCCGACUCUAGCAGCUCCAGAUUUUGCUUACAGGGAUAUUGUCACUAGUCAAUACCUUCACACCUUACCUCUUCUAUAAAUAUUUCCUAAUUAUCAAGUGUUUUCUCAAUCAUUCUCUUUUAUUUUUCUCUAUCUCAGAGCUUAUAGGCUUGAUGGAUGUACAGGGUUCCAUCAUGUUUUGAAACAAAACCUUCAGAAGGUCGCACUAAAAUAGAACCUGAUGUUGUCUAUGGUCAAAGGAAAGGAUAUGACCAGAUAGAUGAGUCCUAAACAUCUUUCAAGCUGACCAGUCAUUAUCUUCACCCGGAGGAGCUCCUCUCCAUCAGAUGCAGUAGUAUUAUAGGCGGCUUUGUGUCCCUGAUAACUUUUCCAGAAAAUGGAAUGCUGUUGUUCAUUGCUUAACUUUGGAGGCAAAACGAACUUCUGUAGUGGAGAUGGAUGAACUCGUGUAACAAGUUGAAUUGUACAGGACUAGUUGGCACUUGUUACAUUUUUUCAAGGAUUAUAUAUUUUUGGAUAGAUGUGUAUGAAAAAUAUUUGGGUAGACUAGUAAUUAUAUUUUUAGAUUGAUGCGCAUGGAUAAAAAUUUAAAACAUAAUAACAAGUACUUGUUAUGUUUUAAAUUUUUAUACUAGAUGGAUGUGAAUCAAAAUUUUAAUUGGAGAAAUAUGUACUUUGGAAUUAUUUGUGGAUGAAAAUUUAUAAUAAUUGCCGACUUUUAUUAAACA